AGAGAAGCGGAUUUGCCGGACGAAAGAGAAGACGAAGAGAAAGACAGGAUUAGGAAAAGAUGGAUUUGUAGGUGUCAGCACGUGCCCGUACAAUCUCUUUGGACAUUGUACCUUUCCUUCGUGGGGAAAGACACAGCUAUCUUGAGAACCAGCAGUAAAUACUCGAAUGUUUUCCUCUCCCCGAUUGAAACUUGCUAGAGGGAUGGAUCGGUGAUAGGGCAUCCUGGAAAGGCACAAGCUUCAGGAGUCAAAAAACAGUCAGUACAGAUUGUACCUCCAUCGUUUCCUGGCUAUGCAGUCUUGGGGGCAAUAAUUAUA